rnacentral:rRNA from 1 species
AUGAAGGAUGCUGUUGUGAGCCAUGCCACCCCAUCAGCAAGCGUUGAAGUGCACGCUCCCGAGAUGAACCUAAGCAAGGAAGAUUCCCGCUCAUCUGACACUGAUUCGAAGCGCGUGCGUGGUGGCACUCUAGUGUCCACGACAGAAGCGGCUGAGGCGGCAGUUCACAAGGAUAUGCCAUCUACAGGUGAGAGUCCUGGCACAACAGCUCCAUCUCCUGUCGGUGCAGAUACUGCUAAGGCGACUGUUUCGCGUGCUGGUCUUCCACCUAGGCGUCGUAGCCCCCGCAAGCAACCAACAGACAUACCCAACGCACCGGCUGUAGCUAGGAGCAGGAGAGACGAGUCUGGUUAUGUUCCUGCGUCCACACUGUUCCCGCCACCUGCCAAAAGCAAUGUGAUGGAGAAACCGGAAGACCGAAGCACAACUGAUGCAGAUGUCAAGCUGGGCACGAGUGACGCAGGUGAAAAACCGGAGCAGACUGCGCCUUUACCCGCAGUGGAAAUCCCCAUCAUAAAUCUGCGCACUUCCAGGCUCCCAGUCAAUGUCGGUGUCCCCUACAGCCCAAACAAGAAGAUUGUCAUGAAAGAUGCGGUUGAUACCGCUGACAACAUGCCCCGCCCUGCAAAUAAGGUCGAUCAUUCUGUAGCGGCCAAUUCAGAUAUGUUUGUCGAUCUUUCACCCUUGGAUUCUGCCCCGCAAGUCGUUCGUGGUCUGGCCAGUAGGAAUGAGAGGCACCCAAUGGCCUUUACCCCACCGAGCUUCAGCCUUGGCAUCAGUCAAGAUCAACCGGUGGUGCAAGAUCCUAUGCCAGUUGCCUUUGCUUUUCCAGGAGGCAUGCCCGCAAUGAUGGCGCAGCCAAUGGUCGAAGGCAGGAAGGCUGUCAAGUUCGUAGAGCCGAUUGUGCAAGUGUAG